rnacentral:rRNA from 1 species
AUUGAACGCUGGCGGAAUGCUUUACACAUGCAAGUCGAGCGGCAGCGCGGCCUUCGGGCUGGCGGCGAGCGGCGAACGGGUGAGUAAUGCAUCGGAACAUGCCCAGUCGUGGGGGAUAACACUUCGAAAGAAGUGCUAAUACCGCAUACGUCCUGAGGGGGAAAGCGGGGGAUCGCAAGACCUCGCGCGAUUGGAGUGGCCGAUGUCAGAUUAGCUAGUUGGUGGGGUAAAGGCCUACCAAGGCGACGAUCUGUAGCUGGUCUGAGAGGAUGAUCAGCCACACUGGGACUGAGACACGGCCCAGACUCCUACGGGAGGCAGCAGUGGUGAAUUUUGGACAAUGGGGGCAACCCUGAUCCAGCCAUUCCGCGUGAGUGAAGAAGGCCUUCGGGUUGUAAAGCUCUUUCGGCAGGAACGAAACGGUGGGCUCUAACAUAGUCCGCUAAUGACGGUACCUGAAGAAGAAGCACCGGCUAACUACGUG